rnacentral:rRNA from 1 species
GUCCGGUGAAAUGCCAAUCGAACGCAGAGAUAGCUGGUUCUCCCCGAAAUGCAUUUGGGUGCAGCGUUACGUGUUUUCAUACGGGGGUAGAGCACUGAAUGGGCUAGGGGGCCUACCAGCUUACUGAACCCAACCAAACUCCGAAUACCGUAUGAUUAGCGUAGCAGUGAGACUGCGAGGGAUAAGCUCCGUGGUCAAAAGGAAAACAGUCCAGAUCGUCAGCUAAGGGCCCUAAACAUAGACUAAGUGUGAAACGAUGUGAAGUCGCGUAAACAGCCAGGAGGUUGGCUUAGAAGCAGCCACCCUUUAAAAAGUGCGUAAUAGCUUACUGGCCGAAUGUGACUUUGCGCGGAUAAUGUAAGGGGGCUAAAGUCUAUUCCCGAAGCUACGGGAUCCCGCAAGAGCGGUGAUCGGUAGGGGAGCGUCCUGUUCUGCGGUGAAGCCUGAGCGUAAGCACAGGUGGAGCGUACAGGAGCGAGAAUGCAGGCAUGAGUAGCGAUCACAGGGGUGAGAAUCCCCUGCGCCGAAAACCUAAGGUUUCUCCGGCUAUGUUCGUCAGACGGAGGUUAGGCGGUCCCUAAGGCGAGGCCAGAAGGCGUAGCCGAUGGACAUCCGGUUGAAAUUCCGGACCUUGGUGCAGUAGCGAUGGAGGGACGCUUCUAUAGGUUCCAUCCCACACCGUUGGUUGUUGUGGGCUACCGGGAUAACCCAGCCGUUUAAUAGAUGGCUUUUCAAAGGGUGGGGCCGGGGGGAAGGGAUGGCUUCGGCUUGAACGAACUGGGACUGAAGGGGGCCGAGAAAAGCUUCUAAGCAUAUACUGCAUCAAACCGUACUGCAAACCGACACAGGUAGGUGAGUCGAGGAGACUCAGGCGUUCGAGAGAACUCUCGUUAAGGAACUAGGCAAACGAGCCCCGUAACUUUGGAAGAAGGGGCGCCCCGCAAGGGGCCGCAGCGAAGCAGCCCAGGCGACUGUUUACCAAAAACACAGGUCUCUGCUAAGACGAAAGUCGAUGUAUAGGGGCUGACGCCUGCCCAAUGCCAGUCCAUUAAGCGGAGAUGUCAGGAGCAAUCUGAAGCAUUGAAGUGAAGUGCUGGUGAAUGGCGGCCGUAACUCUAACGGUCCUAAGGUAGGAAUUAAUGCAACUGCCUUAGUAAAAUCUAGCUAUAUGCUGGGAAGUCUGAGUAUCUCGGAUUACGAAUCGAAAGAUCGUGACAAUAUCCGAGCGCAGAUCAUCAGCAGGAAAGAUCCCGACCCUGUCGGGAAAUCCUCAGAGGCCAUACGCUAGAUAUUCGAAGGAUGGCACCUUCGGAUAAAGAAAUGGUCCCAUCUGCAUGGCGACAUGCAGGGAUGAUCCAGCUCAAGAUGGAUCGUCCACUCGAUCAUAAAGGUCGAGCAAGACAAUGAGCGAAAUUCCUUGUCGGCUAAAUACCGACCCGCAUGAAAGGCGUAACGACUUGGGCACUGUCUCAACGAGAAGCUCGGUGAAAUUGUAGCACCCGUGAAGAUGCGGGUUCCGCGCAGUAGGACGGAAAGACCCCGUGGAGCUUUACUACACCUUCAGAUUGUAAGCUGGUUGUAGAUGUAGAGCGUAGGUGGGAGCUUCGGCAUCAAUGGAACACCACCCUUCUACAUCUGGUUUACUAACCCGCACCGUUAUCCGGUGUGGAGACAUUCUGUGGCGGGUAGUUUGACUGGGGCGGUCGCCUCCCAAAAAGUAACGGAGGCGUACAAAGGCACACUCAGCCUGGUCGGAAAUCAGGCGUCGAGCGUAUAGGUAUAUAGUGUGCUUGACUGUGAGACAAACAAGUCGAGCAGGGACGAAAGUCGGUCUAAGUGACCCUCUGGUGGUGCGUGGGCACGCCAGGGUUCAUCGGAUAAAAGCUACCCCGGGGAUAACAGGCUGAUCUUGCCCGAGCGCUCACAGCGACGGCAUGGUUUGGCACCUCGAUGUCGGCUCGUCUCAUCCUGGGGCUGUACACGGUCCCAAGGGUUCCGGAGUUCACGGAUUAAAGAGGCACGCGAGCUGGGUUCAGAACGGCGUGAGCCAGUUCGGUCCCUAUCCACUGCGCGCGUAGGAUAUUUGAGGGGAGUCGCUCUUAGUACGAGAGGACCGGAGUGAACCGACCUCUGGUGUACCAGUUGUGCCGCCAGGCGCAGACGCUGGGUAGCCACGUCGGGCCGUGAUAAGCGCUGAAAGCAUCUAAGCGCCAAGCACACCCCAAGAUUAGAUAUCCCAUUUAGAAGUAAGGCCCCUGGAAGAUCACCAGGUAAUAGGUCGCAUGUGGAAGCGUGGUAACACGUGCAGCUGAGCGAUACUAAUAGGCCGAGGGCUUACAAA